rnacentral:rRNA from 1 species
CUUUGAUGAAGUUUUCGGAUGGAUUUAAACAGCUUAGUGGCGGACGGGUGAGUAACGCGUGGGUAACCUGCCUCACACUGGGGGAUAACAGUUAGAAAUAGCUGCUAAUACCGCAUAAGCGCACAGUUCCGCAUGGAACGGUGUGAAAAACUCCGGUGGUGUGAGAUGGACCCGCGUCUGAUUAGCCAGUUGGCGGGGUAACGGCCUACCAAGGCGACGAUCAGUAGCCGACCUGAGAGGGUGAUCGGCCACAUUGGAACUGAGACACGGUCCAAACUCC